rnacentral:rRNA from 1 species
GGNGUANAGUUUGAUCAUGGCUCAGGAUGAACGCUGGCGGUAUGCUUAANACAUGCAAGUCGAACGAAAGUUUUUAACUUUAGUGGCGAACGGGUGCGUAAUACGUGAGAAUCUGCCCUUAGGAGGAGUAUAACUGCUGGAAACGGCUGCUAACACUCCAUAUGUCGAGAGAUGAAAUAAUUUAUUGCCUAAGGAUGAGCUCGCGCCUGAUUAGCUAGUUGGUGAGGUAAUGGCUCACCAAGGCCACGAUCAGUAGCUGGUUUGAGAGAACGAUCAGCCACACUGGGACUGAGACACGGCCCAGACUCCUCCGGGAGGCAGCAGUGAGGAAUUUUCCGCAAUGGGCGAAAGCCUGACGGAGCAAUACCGCGUGAGGGAUGAAGGAUUUUGGUCUGUAAACCUCUUUUCUCAAGAAAGAAGUUCUGACGGUACUUGAGGAAUAAGCAUCGGCUAACUCCGUGCCAGCAGCCGCGGUAAUACGGGGGAUGCAAGCGUUAUCCGGAAUCAUUGGGCGUAAAGCGCCUGUAGGUUGUUUAAUAAGUCUGUUGUUAAAGACUAGGGCUUAACCCUAGAAAAGCAAUGGAAACUACUAGACUAGAGUAUGGCAGGGGUAGAGGGAAUUUCUAGUGUAGCGGUGAAAUGCGUAGAUAUUAGAAAGAACACCGGUGGCGAAAGCGCUCUACUGGACCAUUACUGACACUCAGAGGCGAAAGCUAGGGUAGCAAAAGGGAUUAGAUACCCCUGUAGUCCUAGCCGUAAACGAUGGAUACUAGAUGUUGUGCUUUAUGUACAGUAUCGUAGCUAACGCGUUAAGUAUCCCGCCUGGGGAGUACGCUCGCAAGG